rnacentral:tRNA from 1 species
GGAGAGAUGGCAGAGCGGUUGAACGCGCUACCUUGGAAAGGUAGUAUACGCGCAAGCGUAUCGGGGGUUCGAAUCCCCCUCUCUCCG